rnacentral:rRNA from 1 species
AAAUGGAAUGGCUCUCUUAGUUACGCUGUGCCCCGACCCGAGUCCCCACGUCCGCUUUUAUCCCCCCGCAACCCGGCCAACACAACAUUAGGGCCGUCCCCCGCAUUCUAUGCUGACCCGGGCCGGGGCUCGCUUUUUGGGAAGCCCGUUCCCACCGUGCUCACGGCCCGACUGCCUGCCAGCGGUAGUGGGAAUUCUCCCGUUCCCUAG